GGUUGUAGCUCAGUGGUAAGAGCGCUUGGCUAAUACACGUGAGUCACUGGGUUCGAUCCUCAGAACCA
rnacentral:tRNA from 1 species